UACGAGUGCCUCGAGCGUUAUCCGGAAUUACUGGGCGUAAAGGGUGUGUAGGUGGUCAUGUUAGUCUUUCGUUAAAUCUCCCGGCUCAACCGGGAACAUGCGAGGGAAACGGCAUGACUAGAGGAUGGGAGAGGUCUGCGGAACUCAUGGUGUAGCGGUGAAAUGCGUUGAUAUCAUGGGGAACACCAAAAGCGAAGGCAGCAGGCUGGAACACUCCUGACACUGAAACACGAAAGCGUGGGUAGCGAAUGGG
rnacentral:rRNA from 1 species